UCCUGAUGGCUCAGUGGUAAAAGAAUUUGCCUGCAAUGCAGGAGACCCAGGUUCAAUCCCUGGGUCAGGAA
rnacentral:tRNA from 1 species